AGACUAGAUACGCUAGCGCGCUGUAGCAGUCGGCUCAGAUGGCUGCACAUAAGGACAGCUGUAAAUGACGUUGAUUAGCUGCGUAAACACCUACGUGAAUCACAUCAUUGGCUGGAGCAGCCAGUCACGGGUCACUCACUGACUCACAUUGAAAAAUAGCACAGAAUGAAUUGUUAUGUAUUUAUUUUAUUUUCAAUUUAGGUUGGAUUUUAUUUGUGUGCAGCGCAGAUUUUCUGUGCGUUGAGACUGUGUCAGGAGUGCGCAAUUGCGGACGCGCGCAGCUUAGAGGGAACAGUGGCUCCCAGUGGCUCCGACCACUUCCCACGCCUGCCGAGAGAAAAAGGCUGCUUUUCUUAUAUUAUCGCUCGGCCGUUUCGAAGAAAAAGGUAGAAACACCUCAUAAAGUCCUUAAUGGGAUUUUUGAAGAUUUGGCCAAAGAUGACUUCAAAAAAUUCAAGUGGUUGUUGCAUGAUGAGUUGAUAAAAGACUUUGAGCCCAUUCCAAAGUCUCGACUGGAGGAAGCAGACAGGAUGGACACAGUGGAUCAGAUGUUUCAGAGCUACUGCAUCUACACCAUUAAAGUUGCUGUAAAGGCUUUGGAGGAGAUUCCCAGAAAUGAUCUCGUGGCGAACAUCCCAGAAAGCAUCAAAGAACCUGAAGGAUGGACUCUGGACAUGCCUGGUUGAAAUGAACAUAAGGAACAAGUUUUUAGAGAGACAAGCUAACAGGACUCCUUCCCUUCUUCUCCUCCACAUCCUGGCUCUUCUCGCCCAGAUCUGCCUCCAUCGUUAUGCUGCUUCCUCCUCAGCUUCAAGGUGCUUUUAUGUUCAUAUUUUGAAUUCACAUUCUAACGUAUGGUUCAAAGGAAAAGAAAUACAGUUAUUCUGUUGUUGUGCAUGUUCUUUUAUUGUAAAUAUCUGUAGAAUACAGUUAAAAUUAGGGAUGGCUCGAUACCACUUUUUCACAUCCGAUACCGAUAUCGAUACUGCAGCCUUGAGGAUCGGGAGAUACCAAUCCGAUGUGAAUCUUUUUGUCAUUCUAAAAGUUGUUAAUAAUACAUGGAUGUAAUUUGCUUGAUACGGACAUCUAAAAACACCACGCUCAUUGUACAACACCUGUUCUGGUCCCCUAAAGAAAGAAGGAAAACAUGUGACAACAAGUUAUGUGUAACUGCUGCGGCUUUAUUAAAACUUAAAGCUCACAUCGCUUUUAACAGCGUUUGUAAACACAACAGACCCAGCUGCACCAUUCAAAUGUUUGAAAUAAAACUGCAACUUGGUGCACAUAUUUAAAUUAAAUUAAAUAAUCCCCGUAUAUAAACAGAAAAGUCACAUUAUAACUCUAAUAAUUCUCGAGACACACAAUCAAAACAUAAAAAUCUAGGCUACGCACCUGAUUUGCUGCACCAAAACAAAAAAAGAAAAACAAGGGUAAACAGUGCAAUCUAGUGUCUUUCUUCUUUUGCAUGCAGCCGCUGAUGUUGUACUGUAUGUAAAACACUCAUGAAACUAAAUAUUAGAAUGAACACUAUUCCUUACCUUACUUAUUAUUAAUUACAAACUCUAAAUUGGAGCCCUGUAAGUUUUCUCCCAUUUGGUACAACCCUGAUUUUCAGGUUAAUCAGCCGCUCCAUUUAGCUGUUUGGGAGCAGAAUGGAAUCACACAUCACCACCACCUCUUUUCAGAUAAUGUGUUCAUGUCAUAUACAAACUUGCUUCAAAAAUACAAAAUUUAAAAAAAAAAAAAAGGGAAUUUUUUACAUUAUCUACAAGUUAAAAAUAUUAUUAAGAAAAGAAUCCCAACACUUCAAAGCACGCUCCGGCCGCCAGCAUUAGCUGAAGCAAUCAUAAAGCUUUCUCCGACAACAACUAAAACCCUCUCUAAAAUAUAUAAGUUACUCUUAAGCACUGAUAAAAUACAUUUACCCAUCUCUAAAUGGGAGUCAGACUUAUCUAUAUCCCCGGAACCAGACUUCUGGACUCAAAUUUGCGAUAAUGCAUUUAAAAUGACAAAACAAUGCAUGCAUUAUGCAUUGUUGUUAGAGACUUCAAAGGAUACCGCUCUAAAUGCCAUCAGGAUGAUAUGGGGAAAAGAUUUAAAUGUUUCAAUAGAUCAAAACUCGUGGCAAAGCAUUUUUAAAAAAAUAAAAAAUAUGUCAAGAGAUGCAAGAGUCCGCCUUACACAGUUUAAAAUUUUGCAUUGCUACUAUUGGACUCCAUAUCGAAUGUUUCGCCUUGGGCUAAAGAAAUCACCUUUUUGCUGGUGUUGUGACCAAGCAGAAGGAAACUUAGCA